rnacentral:rRNA from 1 species
GAUCCUGGCUCAGGAUGAACGCUGGCGGCGUGCCUAAUACGUGCAAGUCGAACGCUUCACUUCGGUGAAGAGUGGCGAACGGGUGAGUAAUACAUAAGUAACCUGGCAUCUACAGGGGGAUAACUGAUGGAAACGUCAGUUAAGACCGCAUAGGUGUAGAGAUCGCAUGAACUCUAUAUGAAAAGUGCUACGGGACUGGUAGAUGAUGGACUUAUGGCGCAUUAGCUUG